rnacentral:pre_miRNA from 14 species
UCUCUGGAGACGAGGGUGGUCGCCUAUCCCAGACGAGCCCCCAAAUGAAAGACCCCCGGAGCGGGGAGACCCACGCUCAAGUCUCGGGAUGACGUGACCCCCCAAGAACUCACAUGAGACC